CCUCUCCUGAUCUCCCUCUGCCGUCAGCAGCAAAGCUUUGCACCGCCUGCCUCACACUGGCCAUUCUUCCUGUGGGGCCACCGCGUCCCUCUGGCUGCUUUACCCCUCCAGCUUGACCAGUGAUGUCUCCUGCUCCAGCUUCCUCUUUUCUCAUCCCCAACUGUGACCCAAGGCCCUGCUCCUCCAGCCGUCCCCGGUUUUCCUCCUUGCCUGCUACCACCCACACAUCCAGCCUCCCAGGAGCAGUGCUCUCUGUGCUGCUGUUGGCUUCCGAAAGUUGGAUUUUAAAAUCCAGCUCAAUUCCGUCCAAAAAUGCUUCCCAGUCUCAGCCUUUAAACCAGAAGGGCCAGGCAGGCCAGCUGCUGGACUCAGGCACAUGGGAAAGCUGCUCCUCUGGGGCAGCGCUUCGGAGGAGCAGGCACUGAACAGCCAGACACAAAACAGACAAGGUGCGUUUCUGAUGGGGGUGGUGCACAGCCACCAAAGUGAUCCCGAGAAGCGACUGCUGGGAGCAGCGAGCACCCCCAGCACCUUCCUUCCACCUGGUGUGGUCGCCCACAGUAGUGCGGCAUGAGACCUGAAGAAUGGACGCCAGAGGCCACCUGCGCACUCACCUGAACCUCUGCGCCUGGUGGUGCACGGGGCCUCCGAAGCGCCGCGCAGGCGAGUGGUACAGCUGCGAAAGGAGCGCCACGUUUUUGUUCUGGUUGGGGUUGGCUGCGAACUUCACUGUGAUGGGCUCGGAGGAACCUGGGGGUUUAUGACCAUUGAAACUGGUAAUUGCCUCUUCUGCUUCUGACCGUUUGUCAAACCGGAUAAACGCAACCCCUCUGGACAAACCUUUUUAACAAACCAACAAAAAUGGAGUUAGGGGAAAAAAACGAGGACUUGUAAAACUGAAAAGCAAAAGUCAAGUCAGUCUACUGCAGUUCAAACUGGAUGUCUGGUCAACGAAAUAAACAAAAUUUAACCCUAAAGAAAAAAUAAAUGAACUGAUUAAGGCAAAUACACAGUGACUGAUGAAGGCUGAGGCUUCACUCUUCUAGCUGAAAAGGGCUCCACAGUCCCAGCGUAAGGGAUAUUUUGGUGACAAACCAAAUAGGUACCCAAACCUAUUUUUUAAAAAAAGCAGUAUCAGCAGAGGCCACAUCUACUGUCCCUCCUCAGCCAGCAGGGCCAGUGUGGGGCACAGAUGUGCUG
rnacentral:lncRNA from 1 species